UCAAUAUUAAAUGUCCACUAUUGUCUAUAUAUAUUUAUACACACGUUGCACAUCUCUUCAGGAAUAGCUACUAAAAGGAGACGGGAGAGGAAGAAAAAAGUUAUCGACAAGCGUAGGAAAAUUGCACCCGAAUCUAAAAGGAAUCCUUGUCAUUGGUCUAGAUCAUACUUCCAAGAAAUGAUUUUUCAGUUAAAUGGAUACAAACAAAGAUAUAGAAGUUCAAAAUGAAGAAGUUGGCACCUC